GACGAACGCUGGCGGCGUGCUUAACACAUGCAAGUCGAACGGAAAGGCCCUGCUUUUGUGGGGUGCUCGAGUGGCGAACGGGUGAGUAACACGUGAGUAACCUGCCCUUGACUUUGGGAUAACUUCAGGAAACUGGGGCUAAUACCGGAUAGGAGCUCCUGCUGCAUGGUGGGGGUUGGAAAGUUUCGGCGGUUGGGGAUGGACUCGCGGCUUAUCAGCUUGUUGGUGGGGUAGUGGCUUACCAAGGCUUUGACGGGUAGCCGGCCUGAGAGGGUGACCGGCCACAUUGGGACUGAGGUACGGCCCAGACUGCUACGGGAGGCAGCGGUGGGGAAUAUUGCACAAUGGGCGGAAGCCUGAUGCAGCAACGCCGCGUGCGGGAUGACGGCCUUCGGGUUGUAAACCGCUUUCGCCUGUGACGAAGCGUGAGUGACGGUAAUGGGUAAAGAAGCACCGGCUAACUACGUG
rnacentral:rRNA from 1 species